rnacentral:rRNA from 1 species
UACGUAGGGUGCGAGCGUUUAAUCGGAAUUACUGGGCGUAAAGCGUGCGCAGGCGGUUCGCCGUGUCCGAUGUGAAAGCCCCGGGCUUAACCUGGGAAUGGCAUUGGAAACUGGCGGGCUGGAGUGUGGCAGAGGGGGGUGGAAUUCCACGUGUAGCAGUGAAAUGCGUAGAGAUGUGGAGGAACACCGAUGGCGAAGGCAGCCCCCUGGGCCAACACUGACGCCUCAGGCACGAAAGCGUGGGGAGCAAACAGG